rnacentral:misc_RNA from 1 species
AAGCAAUUUAUGGAAGGGAACAUUCUUUAUUGGUUCCAAGGCCUCAAGCCGUUCGAUCUUCAAUCCCGAAAAUUGAACGACUCAGGAACCUCUUUAUAACUACGAGGGCAAUUGCGGAGUCUAGGAGAUUAAUCGAGCAUAACGAGCUAUCUAGCGCGAUGCAUUUAUUGUCAUCGGCUCGAGCAUUGUUGAUACAAUCCGGGUCGGCUUUUGUGGACGAGUAUGUAAGAGGAUUAGAAGCCGAGCUGACGGAAGUGCAAUGGAG